GUAGGUGAACCUGCGGAAGGAUCAUUACCGAAUUUAAUUCCGGGGUUGUAGCUGGCCAUUGUUUUGGCAUGUGCACGCCUUGGUAAUCCAAAUCAUUUACACCUCUGUGCACUAUUAAUGUGGGAUUGAUGAGGCUUUGGUGCUUGCGCCGAUGGCAUUCUCAUUCUCAUGUUUUCACAUACACUCCAUAGUAUAGAAUGUUAUUGCGUUAAACGCAUUUUAAUACAACUUUCAGCAACGGAUCUCUUGGCUCUC
rnacentral:misc_RNA from 1 species